rnacentral:rRNA from 1 species
UACGGAGGGUGCGAGCGUUAAUCGGAAUUACUGGGCGUAAAGCGCACGCAGGCGGUUUGUUAAGCUAGAUGUGAAAGCCCCGAGCUCAACUUGGGAUGGUCAUUUAGAACUGGCAGACUAGAGUCUUGGAGAGGGGAGUGGAAUUCCAGGUGUAGCGGUGAAAUGCGUAGAUAUCUGGAGGAACAUCAGUGGCGAAGGCGACUCCCUGGCCAAAGACUGACGCUCAUGUGCGAAAGUGUGGGUAGCGAACAGG